CCUACGGGUGGCAGCAGUGGGGAAUAUUGGGCAAUGGGCGCAAGCCUGAACCAGCAACGCCGCGUGAAGGAAGAAGGCUUUCGGGUUGUAAACUUCUUUUCUCAGGGACGAAGCAAGUGACGGUACCUGAGGAAUAAGCCACGGCUAACUACGUGCCAGCACCCGCUGUAAUACGUCGGUGGCAAGCGUUAUCCGGAUUUACUGGGUGUAAAGGGCGAGUAGGCGGGAAAGCAAGUCAGAUGUGAAAACCAUGGGCUCAACCUGUGGCCUGCAUUUGAAACUGUUUGUCUUGAGUACUGGAGAGGCAGACGGAAUGCCUAGUGUAGCGGUGAAAUGCGUAGAUAUUAGGCGGAACACCAGUGGCGAAGGCGGUCUGCUGGACAGCAACUGACGCUGAGGCGCGAAAGCGUGGGGAGCAAACAGGAUUAGAUACCCGGGUAGUC
rnacentral:rRNA from 1 species